UGCAAGUCGAACGAUGAAGCUUCUAGCUUGCUAGAAGUGGAUUAGUGGCGCACGGGUGAGUAAGGUAUAGUUAAUCUGCCCUACACAAGAGGACAACAGUUGGAAACGACUGCUAAUACUCUAUACUCCUGCUUAACACAAGUUGAGUAGGGAAAGUUUUUCGGUGUAGGAUGAGACUAUAUAGUAUCAGCUAGUUGGUAAGGUAAUGGCUUACCAAGGCUAUGACGCUUAACUGGUCUGAGAGGAUGAUCAGUCACACUGGAACUGAGACACGGUCCAGACUCCUACGGGAGGCAGCAGUAGGGAAUAUUGCGCAAUGGGGGAAACCCUGACGCAGCAACGCCGCGUGGAGGAUGACACUUUUCGGAGCGUAAACUCCUUUUCUUAGGGAAGAAUUCUGACGGUACCUAAGGAAUAAGCACCGGCUAACUCCGUGCCAGCAGCCGCGGUAAUACGGAGGGUGCAAGCGUUACUCGGAAUCACUGGGCGUAAAGGGCGCGUAGGCGGAUUAUCAAGUCUCUUGUGAAAUCUAAUGGCUUAACCAUUAAACUGCUUGGGAAACUGAUAGUCUAGAGUGAGGGAGAGGCAGAUGGAAUUGGUGGUGUAGGGGUAAAAUCCGUAGAUAUCACCAAGAAUACCCAUUGCGAAGGCGAUCUGCUGGAACUCAACUGACGCUAAGGCGCGAAAGCGUGGGGAGCAAACAGGAUUAGAUACCCUGGUAGUCCACGCCCUAAACGAUGUACACUAGUUGUUGGGAUGCUAGUCAUCUCAGUAAUGCAGCUAACGCAUUAAGUGUACCGCCUGGGGAGUACGGUCGCAAGAUUAAAACUCAAAGGAAUAGACGGGGACCCGCACAAGCGGUGGAGCAUGUGGUUUAAUUCGAAGAUACGCGAAGAACCUUACCUGGGCUUGAUAUCCUAAGAACCUUAUAGAGAUAUGAGGGUGCUAGCUUGCUAGAACUUAGAGACAGGUGCUGCACGGCUGUCGUCAGCUCGUGUCGUGAGAUGUUGGGUUAAGUCCCGCAACGAGCGCAACCCACGUAUUUAGUUGCUAACGGUUCGGCCGAGCACUCUAAAUAGACUGCCUUCGUAAGGAGGAGGAAGGUGUGGACGACGUCAAGUCAUCAUGGCCCUUAUGCCCAGGGCGACACACGUGCUACAAUGGCAUAUACAAUGAGACGCAAUACCGCGAGGUGGAGCAAAUCUAUAAAAUAUGUCCCAGUUCGGAUUGUUCUCUGCAACUCGAGAGCAUGAAGCCGGAAUCGCUAGUAAUCGUAGAUCAGCCAUGCUACGGUGAAUACGUUCCCGGGUCUUGUACUCACCGCCCGUCACACCAUGGGAGUUGAUUUCACUCGAAGCCGGAAUACUAAACUAGUUACCGUCCACAGUGGAAUCAGCGACUGGG
rnacentral:rRNA from 1 species